GAUGAACGCUAGCGGCAGGCUUAACACAUGCAAGUCGAACGGUAACAGGUCUUCGGAUGCUGACGAGUGGCGCACGGGUGCGUAACGCGUAUAGAACCUACCUUUUACAGAGGGAUAGCCUUUAGAGAUGAAGAUUAAUACCUCAUAGUAUUGCGAUUUGGCAUCAGAUUGUAAUUAAAGAUUUAUCGGUAAAAGAUGGCUAUGCGUUCUAUUAGCUAGAUGGUAAGGUAACGGCUUACCAUGGCGAUGAUAGGUAGGGGUCCUGAGAGGGAGAUCCCCCACACUGGUACUGAGACACGGACCAG
rnacentral:rRNA from 1 species